rnacentral:misc_RNA from 1 species
GAUGAAGAACGCAGCGAACUGCGAUAAGUAAUGUGAAUUGCAGAAUUCAGUGAAUCAUCGAGUCUUUGAACGCACAUUGCGCCCCCUGGCAUUCCGGGGGGCAUGCCUGUCCGAGCGUCAUUGCUGCCCUUCAAGCCCGGCUUGUGUGUUGGGUCGUCGUCCCCCCCGGGGGACGGGCCCGAAAGGCAGCGGCGGCACCGCGUCCGGUCCUCGAGCGUAUGGGGCUUUGUCACCCGCUCGAUUAGGGCCGGCCGGGCGCCAGCCGGCGUCUCCAACCUUCUGUUUUACCAGGUUGACCUCGGAUCAGGUAGGGAUACCCGCUGAACUUAAGCAUAUCAAUAAGCGGAGGA